CUGCAGAAAACUUCACUUAAACGAGCACAUUCCUAGAGUGCUAAGGGAUAAAUGGAACAGGAAGUGGACUGACUACUUGGUUAUUUGUUAAUUCUCUGCAGGGGAAUAACUUAGGACAAUGCCUGGUGAAGAUCUCAGAGACGCAAAAAAGGAAGGUGUCAAAAGGCCUGGAUUCCAGCCUCCAUCUCUGGGUUGGCCAGGAGAAGCCCUGGGCCCACACAGCUCUCCCUUACUCACGCCAGGAGGGACUAACACAGAUGAAGGGAUGUUUUGGUGGGUCAUUCGGAGGCCUGGAGGGGGCUCCAGAAAUUGAGCUCAGUCUUGGAUCGUCCCAUAAGAAUUUCUAAUGUUGACUGGAAGAGUCCAUUUUGUUAAUGUUGCCUGGGAGAGUUCAUUUUCUUCUAUUCACUGCCUACCCUACCAGGUUUGUGGUUGUUUAUUCUUUUUUUUUUUUUUUUUCAAUGUUAAGUGUGACGUCUUGUUUUGGGGAAGAGCGGC
ensembl:lncRNA